rnacentral:misc_RNA from 1 species
GGUGGAAGGAGUGGUGUAUUUCUGUCAUCUACAAAUGCAUGAAAUCUCCUACUUGCUUCAUUUAAUGUCAGAUCAUGUCCAAACACAGCAAGGGCAGUCAAAAUUUCUCCUCUCAACAUUGAAUCAAGAUGGCUUUCACCUUGUUUAGGGUCCCAACCAAGCUUCUCUGCAGAAUAUUGGAAAAGAUUAAUAAAAAAUUGGUUAAUGUAAUCCAAUAAUUCAGGGGCUGCAUCUGCUGCAAUCCUUGUAACUUUGUAACUUAUCGUAAUCAAGUUAGAGAGCACAGUAUACUCAAGUUCCUCCCUGUAAGCACCCAUCAGAGUAAGCAACAAGACCAAAGACUGGUGACGAGCCAUGCAAAGGGCAAAUGAAUCAUCCAAAAUGCCAAAUCUGUCUGUUUCAGUCAAAUAUUUCUUCUCUAUGGCAUAUCUAAGUCUAGCUGCAAGAUCCUCGUCAUAUUUCACCCUAUAGAAACCGGUUUGAUGUACAUUAAGUUUUACCCAAGCACUUCUGAUGUCUGCAAGACUGGCUUCCUUAGCAUCAAGAGUUUCAGAUUUUGUUUGCAAUAAGAAAUUCUUCUUCACAUCAUAUGAGCCACAGCAUAAAGUUAUUGGGACAAUCCACUGUCCAUCUCCAUGGGAACCACUUGAAAAGAAUUGUGACUGUUCAAAUUCCAAUUUCUGAUCUUUAAGUUUGACAGAUACAACAGGGUAUCCCUUUUGCCUCGUCCAUGAAUUCAUUAGCUUGUUCACAGGCUCACCAGAUCCUUCCUCAAGGGCAGCCCACAAGUGUUCUGUCUUUGCGUUUGAGUAAGCAUAUUUUUUGAUGUAU